AGCGAACGCUGGCGGCAUGCUUAACACAUGCAAGUCGCACGGGCGGGGGCAACUCCGUCAGUGGCGGACGGGUGAGUAACGCGUAGGAAUCUAUCCUUGAAUGGGGGACAACCGUGGGAAACUACGGCUAAUACCGCAUGAUGCCUGAGGGCCAAAGACGAAAGUCGUUUGAGGAGGAGCCUGCGUCUGAUUAGGUAGUUGGUGGGGUAAAGGCCUACCAAGCCUGCGAUCAGUAGCUGGUCUGAGAGGAUGAUCAGCCACAUUGGGACUGAGACACGGCCCAAACUCCUACGGGAGGCAGCAGUGGGGAAUAUUGGACAAUGGGCGCAAGCCUGAUCCAGCAAUGCCGCGUGGGUGAAGAAGGUCUUCGGAUUGUAAAGCCCUUUUGGCGGGGACGAUGAUGACGGUACCCGCAGGAUAAGCUCCGGCUAACUUCGUG
rnacentral:rRNA from 1 species